UACGAAGGGGGCUAGCGUUGCUCGGAAUCACUGGGCGUAAAGCGCACGUAGGCGGGGCUUUAAGUCAGGGGUGAAAUCCUGGAGCUCAACUCCAGAACUGCCUUUGAUACUGAGGAUCUCGAGUCCGGGAGAGGUGAGUGGAACUCCGAGUGUAGAGGUGAAAUUCGUAGAUAUUCGGAAGAACACCAGUGGCGAAGGCGACACACUGGCCCGUUACUGACGCUGAGGCGCGAAAGCGUGGGGAGCAAACAGG
rnacentral:rRNA from 1 species